UAGUUACUGUGAUGUUGGCUCGGUUCACUCAGACAAACACUAUAUACCAACCUUUAUAUAUCUGUAUAUAUAGAUUAAAGCAUAUAUAUAUAUAUAUAUGUAUAUAUAGUGGUGUAGUUCUAUCUGAUUGAGCCGUGCCAAUAUCUUAGUACUCUUU
rfam:Macleaya cordata isolate BLH2017 scaffold1823, whole genome shotgun sequence.